UGUUUCUCAUUAAAAAGAUAUAAAAUUUAUCAAAGUUAAGCAACUUUAAUCAAUAAAUUGAAACAAUGCAUUUACAUGGAAAUAUAUACAUUUAGCAAGGAGAUCUAACCAAAAGUCUGUUAAUGCGUGUGGAAAUUGCGUAAUUUUUAACCUGAUUUUUCGAAGGAAAUAUCGGUUAUUAAAAUGGUGAUGUACAGCGGCCGGCUGGGCGGACCUACGGGCGGCUGCCAAACAGUGUCAGCACAAUAACAUGAAAACGCUUUAACAAAUUUUUUUCAAAUUUAAAUAUGUUGUUUCCUGGGACUUAAUGAAGGUCAAUUUCAAUUUUCAAGAUAUUAGUAUAUCUCCUUUGUGAGUUAUCGCCAUUUUUAAUAUCCAAAAGUGGAAUUUUUAAAUAUUUUACUCUUGAUAUCUUUUUUAUGACUAAGCAUAAUGUAUUAUCUCACAAUAAAAAUUGGAGUGACAGAUUUAUUUGAAAAUUAUCUAUUUCCUAAGUGGUAAUGAUUAUAAGCUAUAUUAUUAGACAUUUUGAAGUUAAUUACAUUAUUAAUUAUUAAUUAGAUCUGUGUUAUAUCUUAGCAUAUGAUAAUCAUUGGAGUGACAGAUUUAUUUGAAAAUUUUCUGUUUCCUGAUAAGAUCUGUAGGACUAUAUAUAUAAAAUUUGAAAUUUACUAGUAAGGACUGUAUAAAUGAAAUUUGAAAUUUACUGUUCAUUAUAAGACAUUUUGUAGAUAAUUAUACGACCGCAAAAAUUAAAAAUUUUUUGGUCGUAUAUUGGUAUGACGUUGGCGUCGUCGUCGUCGUCGUCCGAAGACACAUUGGUUUUCGCACUCUAACUUUAGUUUAAGUGAAUGGAUCUCCAUGAAAUUUUACCAUAAGGUUUAAUACCACAAAAGGAAGGUUGGGAUUGAUUUUGGGGGUUAUGGUACCAACUGUUAAGGAAUUAGGGGCCAAAAAGGGGCCAAAAAUAAGCAUUUUUGUAACUUCCAGACAUAACUUGUGUGUUAGUGUAUGGAUCUCUCUGACAUUGUACCACAAGGUUCCAUAUCACAAAGGGAAUGCUGGGAUUGAUUUUGGGGGUAAUUGCCGCAAAGUUUUAGGAAUUAGGGGCCAAAAAAGGGGCAAAAAACAAGCAUUUUUCUAGUUUCAUGAUAAUAACUUGUGUGUAAGUAUAUGGAUUUUUCUGAAAUUGAACUACAAGGUUCCAUAUCACAAAAGGAAAGCUGGGUUUGAGUUUGGGGGUAAUUGCCCUAAACAUUUAGGAAUUUGGGGCCAAAAAGGGUCCUAAAAACAAGCAUUUUUCUAGUUUCCAGACAAUAACUUGUGUUCAAGUGUAUGGAUCUCUCUGAAAUUGUACUGCAAGGUACCAUACCACAAAGGGAAGGCUGGGAUUGAGUUUGAGGGU